GUGGUCAUCACAGUUAGGGAUUCACAUACGUUGGUGAAUCCCGGGAUCCACCGAAGCCGCGUCCGGAAAUUAGAAAAAGGAAAAGCAAAUUCAUCCCCUCAUCUCAUAACAACUAUUAUCCUCCGUCAUCGACCAAGCCUCCUUCUUCUAUGUCAACGCCUUCGGACGUUCAAGGGCAUCUGCUUGAGGUUACUGUCGUUGGUUGUAACAAAUUGAGAGACACUGAAUGGAUUUCAAGGCAAGAUCCUUACGUCUGCCUAGAAUACGGUCACACCAAGUUCAGAACCAGGACCUGUACAGAUGGAGACAAGAAUCCCACCUUCCAAGAGAAGUUUGUCUUCUCUCUCAUCCAAGGGCUCCGAGAAUUGAAUGUUGUAGUGUGGAACAGCAAUACCCUCACCUAUGACGAUUUCAUCGGCAGUGGGAAGGUUCAACUUGAGAAGGUCCUCUCUCAAGGAUACGAUGAUACCCCAUGGCCCCUCCAGAGUAAAAGUGGCAGAUAUGCUGGUGAAGUGCGGCUUAUAAUGCAUUAUGCAAAUGCUAAGAAAUCAGCAACAGUUUUGGCCCCAUCGGCCCCCUCAUAUGCAGCACCAAUGACACCUUAUGUCCCUCCUUACAUCACCCCACCACCAUCGGCAGCCUCCCCAUACCCUCCAGUUGGAGCCUACCCUCCUGCUGCAUCUCCUUUUCCUUCAUACCCACCUCCACCCAAUUCCAUUCAAUAUCCACCUUCAGCUUACCCUCCCCAACCAACUACCUAUUCUCCCCAACCAUACCCUCCUAUGUCCUACCCUCCACAGUCGUACCCUCCACAAAUAUAUCCUCCUCCCCCGCAGGCAACCCCUUACUAUCCACCAGGUCCUCCUCCAGGAAUCUACCCUCCACCAUACUGAGAUAAGCCCAUCCAUCUCCUGUCCACGUGGAUAUAAAUUUCCUGCCCAAGGGUUGUGGAAUCUACAAGCUAGGAUAGAUGUUUCUUGAUAGUUUUAUGAUGUCAUCUGGUAGUGGACUUUCUUCUUGCUGUAUCUUCAUGAUUUACACUGCUUUGCGGAGUCUCUGCAUUGGGCCAAACUCAUCUUUGAUGAGGCACCUUGGGCAGGUUUUUCCAUGGCAUAUUAUGAAUGUGGGAGAGUGUACUUAGUGAAGUAAAAUAAGUUACUGGGCUUGUCAUUUGGAUCUUGUUAAAACAUGAGGAAAACUUGGAAUAUGGUAAGAGUAGCCAUGUCUAUGCACUACAUGUGGAAAGGUUAUCCAUCAGUUGGAGAUGGAGCAAUGUCCAUGGCACCUACCAUGAAUGGCCUAUGUUUAAAAAUCGCCGGAGAUUUGGUGGAUGGUCUCGAUUUAUGUCACCUGCCUCAUAUGCUUUAGAGAGAUGGCUCUACCAUAUUCUGGUUUUUGCUGGCUCUAACAUAUUCUAGUGCUUACUGCUCUCUUUGUCAUCUCCUGGAUGGUCUUGAUUGAUAUGUCACCUGCCUCAUAUGCUGGGGAAAGAAAAGGUGGCUCUACCAUGUCCGAGUUCUUACUGUUCUACCAUGUCAUCUUCCUUUUAGCUGCCCGAGGAUUCCUACUUUUGCUUUCCAAGUAUCUUCCAAAAGCCAUUGAAAGAUUAUCAAUUUUUCAGCAAACGAUGACUUAAAUUCUUGAUCUAGCCAUUCAGAUCCAUCAAGUUUUGUCUUCCCUUUUAUCUACAUCAAUUGCUUGGAAACAAGAAAAGCAUUUCCAUUUUAGUUAAUGUUGCAAAAGAUAGUAGAUACAAAUAUAUAGAUUCUUUCUA